CCGGGACGGGGGAGGCAGCAGCAGCAGCCGUCCUGCAGACAUCCUGCUUUUCAUCAGCUCUGCUACUGUCGGCAUUAAAUAAAGGUGUUAGCGGAGGAAACGCCUUGCUCAAUGCAGACUCAGGACACCAGCAGAACCACCAACAAAAACAACUUGGGCCUAGAAAUUCUCAGGAGACUUGCCCUAAAUCAAGGAUGUCAUUUUUCAAACUGCCAGCCCCAAGCUGUCAGAGAAGUGCAGACUGAAACAGGGGUUGGCAGAGAAGAAACAAACAGAUUUCCCACUGCUGUCACAAACUUGUUGCAUUGUUAAGCAGAAAACAAUAGAGGCUUUUUCUUCAUUUUUUUUUAAGCCAGCAUAAUAAAUGUAAGCUUCCUGGUGGUGUCAUGGUGUUUUUUCCUCUUCCUUCUCUCUCUGUUUGUAUCCCUCCCUGCCAAGUCUACUUCUUCAAAAGCAUUUCAUGGUUACACUGUAAACAAUACAAGGGGAAGAAAACCUACUACAAACUUAAAGGAAAUAAAAGCUGGUUUUGUUUGU